AAUCUGACUAAAUUAGAAAAAUCGUUUAUUUCUAUUUAUUCUAAUAACCUAAUUUUUAACAAACCUUAAAUUAAUUGAUAAUUUGCACGAAAAAAAACUAGUUAAAAAAGUAUUUUUACCAUCAACAUUUUAGUAUUUUACCGCGCUUGUUUAUGUUGAACGGUUGACGAUAAACAUAAACAGAUCAAUUUAUAUAAACCAAAGAUAAUCUUUUACUUGGUGUUGUGCCAAUUGAUAUUGGUUAUACAAUAUUUCGUGAAAAAAUUUACAAGAUAAAGGUAUAAAAAAUUACAAAUGAAGAUCGUUAAUGAGAAAUAAAGUAACAUAAUACGACACAGCACGUCGAUACAACACGAUAUGACACAAUCCGUCUCGGAUUCGACUUACACGAUACCGAUUAUAUAGUAUCUAGUAAAUAAAAGUGGGAAAAGCUAAACAAGACAUUUACAGUUUUUGUUUUUUUGUUUUUUAUUUUGUUUUUGUUUAUGUUUUUUUUUUUUGUUUACUAAAGAAUCCGUCAUAUAUAUAAAAAGGGGGAAAACUAAAAACUAUUGAAAGUAUCUAUGUAAAUUAUCAAUUGUAAAUGUCUUUGAGCAUUUGUUUAAAAAAGUUGACGUUAGCAUUUUUCUAAAA